AAUUUCAGAUCCCCCCUCCAAAAAAAAAAAAAAGAAAAACUGCAAGAUAGCAUUUUAAUUAAAAAGAACAGUGUGUGUAAGUACGUGUGUACGGUAAUUGAUAAAGGUAAAGAGCUACUAAAGAGGUAAUAGCAUUAACCCGUGCCAGCUGGAAUCUAAGGCAAGGAUACAUCGUGACUAAGGUUAAGAAGGUUCAUAGGAAACCUGGGGAACAAUGAUUUCAAGAAUAUUGUAAGAGUAUAAUAAAAUUUUAUUAGAAAAGUC